UAGAGUUUGAUCCUGGCUCAGAUUGAACGCUGGCGGCAGGCCUAACACAUGCAAGUCGAGCGGAUGAGUGGAGCUUGCUCAUGAUUCAGCGGCGGACGGGUGAGUAAUGCUAGGAAUCUGCCUGGUAGUGGGGGACAACGUUUCGAAAGGAACGCUAAUACCGCAUACGUCCUACGGGAGAAAGUGGGGGAUCUUCGGACCUCACGCUAUCAGAUGAGCCUAGGUCGGAUUAGCUAGUUGGUGAGGUAAAGGCUCACCAAGGCGACGAUCCGUAACUGGUCUGAGAGGAUGAUCAGUCACACUGGAACUGAGACACGGUCCAGACUCCUACGGGAGGCAGCAGUGGGGAAUAUUGGACAAUGGGCGAAAGUCGCAUCCAGCCAUGUCGCGUGUGUCAAGAAGGUCUUCGGAUUGUAAAGCACUUUAAGUUGGGAGGAAGGGCAGUCAGUUAAUACCUUGCUGUUUUGACGUUACCA
rnacentral:rRNA from 2 species